AAUGCACCGAUUAGUAAGUCGCUCUGGAUAAGAGCGUCUGCUAAAUGACGUAAA
rfam:Salmo salar isolate Sally breed double haploid chromosome ssa01, whole genome shotgun sequence.